rnacentral:rRNA from 1 species
GACGAACGCUGGCGGCGUGCUUAACACAUGCAAGUCGAACGGAAAGGCUCUAGCUUGCUGGAGUACUCGAGUGGCGAACGGGUGCGUAACACGUGGGUAAUCUGCCCUGCACUCUGGGAUAAGCCUGGGAAACUGGGUCUAAUACUGGAUAUGACCUUUCUCCUUAUGGGGUUUGGUGGAAAGUUUUUCGGUGUAGGAUUGGCGGGGGGCCUAUCGGCUUGUUGGUGGGGCGAUGGCCUACCAAGGCGAGGAGGGGUAGCCUGCCUGGGAGGAUAGUCGGGCACAAUGGGACUGAGAUACGGACCAGACGCCUACGGGAGGCAGUAGGGGGGAAUAUUGCCCAAUGGGAGGAAGCGUGAUGCAGAGACGCCGCGUGAGGGAUGACGGCCUUCGGGUUGUAAACAGCUGUCAGCAGGGACGAAGCGUAAGUGACGGUACCUGCAGAAGAAGCACCGGCUAACUACGUG